AUUAGUGGCGAACGGGUGAGUAACACGUGGGCAAUCUGCCCUUCACUCUGGGACAAGCCCUGGAAACGGGGUCUAAUACCGGAUAACACUUCUGCUCUCAUGGGCAGGGGUUAAAAGCUCCGGCGGUGAAGGAUGAGCCCGCGGCCUAUCAGCUUGUUGGUGAGGUAAUGGCUCACCAAGGCGACGACGGGUAGCCGGCCUGAGAGGGCGACCGGCCACACUGGGACUGAGACACGGCCCAGACUCCUACGGGAGGCAGCAGUGGGGAAUAUUGCACAAUGGGCGAAAGCCUGAUGCAGCGACGCCGCGUGAGGGAUGACGGCCUUCGGGUUGUAAACCUCUUUCAGCAGGGAAGAAGCGAAAGUGACGGUACCUGCAGAAGAAGCGCCGGCUAACUACGUGCCAGCAGCCGCGGUAAUACGUAGGGCGCAAGCGUUGUCCGGAAUUAUUGGGCGUAAAGAGCUCGUAGGCGGCUUGUCACGUCGGGUGUGAAAGCCCGGGGCUUAACCCCGGGUCUGCAUUCGAUACGGGCUAGCUAGAGUGUGGUAGGGGAGAUCGGAAUUCCUGGUGUAGCGGUGAAAUGCG
rnacentral:rRNA from 1 species